GGAGUUUGGUUAUGGCUACAACUCUACUGAAGCUGACUGGCAGUCAGAAGGUAGUGGGUUCGAAUCCCAUCAGCUCCACCA
rnacentral:tRNA from 1 species